UACGUAGGGGGCAAGCGUUAUCCGGAUUUACUGGGUGUAAAGGGAGCGCAGACGGCUGAGCAAGUCUGAUGUGAAAGGUGGGGGCUCAACCCCCAAACUGCAUUGGAAACUGUUAAGCUGGAGUGCCGGAGAGGUAAGCGGAAUUCCUAGUGUAGCGGUGAAAUGCGUAGAUAUUAGGAGGAACACCAGUGGCGAAGGCGGCUUACUGGACGGUAACUGACGUUGAGGCUCGAAAGCGUGGGGAGCAAAC
rnacentral:rRNA from 1 species